rnacentral:rRNA from 1 species
UACGUAGGAGGCGAGCGUUGUCCGGAUUUACUGGGCGUAAAGGGCGCGUAGGCGGGCCGCCAAGUUCGAGGUGAAAUCCUCCGGCUCAACCGGAGAACUGCCUCGAAUACUGGACGGCCUCGAGGCGGGUAGGGGCACGCGGAACUGUGGGUGGAGCGGUGAAAUGCGUUGAUAUCCACAGGAACUCCGGUGGCGAAGGCGGCGUGCUGGACCCGAUCUGACGCUGAGGCGCGAAAGCCAGGGGAGCAAACGGG